rnacentral:rRNA from 1 species
CAGCCGCCGCGGUAAUACGUAGGUGGCAAGCGUUGUCCGGAAUUAUUGGGCGUAAAGGGCUCGCAGGCGGUUUCUUAAGUCUGAUGUGAAAGCCCCCGGCUCAACCGGGGGGGGUCAUUGGAAACUGGGAAACUUGAGUGCAGAAGAGGAGAGUGGAAUUCCACGUGUAGCGGUGAAAUGCGUAGAGAUGUGGAGGAACACCAGCGGCGAAGGCGACUCUCUGGUCUGUAACUGACGCUGAGGAGCGAAAGCGUGGGGAGCGAACAGGAUUAGAUACCCCAGUAGUCCCUGUCUCUUAUAC